GAGUUAAAAAAAAAAAAAAAAAAAAAAAAGAGAGAGAGAGAGAGAGGUUUUCCAGAAACCUUUCUCGGUUGGUGUUCUUUCUGCGGGGGAAUCAGCUGGUGGGACCCAGACAGAUGCUCAGGAGAGCGAAGUGGGGACCAGUGAGAUUAUGCUCGUGCUCUGCCAAGAGAGGGAUUAUUUAUGGAAUUAAUAAAUGCGACUCUAUUUUUUUUUUUUUUGUAGGAUGUUGCAAUCUGCUGUGAGAACUUCCUUCGAAUUUUCUGAGCGGUGUUGACAGUGCUGACCUUGGGGUCAGAAGGUGGCUUCAAAUCCAGAGACAACAUUGCAAUGAGAUACAACGAACAAGCAAGCAAACAAGCAACAAUGGGGCUAUUUCCUUCCUUUUCUCUCUUUUUGGAGAGAGACACAUUCCCAGAGGUCUCUUGGAAGACUCCAUUGGUUGUAUUGGGCGGAAUCAAGCCACUGAUAAGAGGAGUGGGAUUGCCACACUUGUCUCCAAGAAAUCAGGAUACCCUGUGUCCUGGAGCUGAGAAAGUAUCUGGCCAGGUGGAGGAGGGUGAAUAUACCUGAAGAAAAUUAGGGGGUAUGAGAAAGGAAGAAGGGAAGUGGAGGUGGAUGUUGGCAAGGCAACCAACACUGCUACAUGACUGCAUCCAUCUGUCUCUCUCAUGUCUAAGCCUCACGGAAAAUCUGCAAGAGAGGUAUUAAUAGUCAUGUUUUAAGAUGGGGCUCAAUUCAGUAUCAUCACAGAGGUUUGCAACAGCAGAAUUCUUUUUUUUUUUUCGUUUCUUUUUCGGGCCACACCUGAGCCACAUCGGAACUUCCAGUGUGCUUUUUAAAUUCUAAUUUUUAUUGCAUUUUGUUCAGAGAACAUACUCCGUAAGAUGUAGUUUUUCUGAGACUUGUUUUGUGGCUCACGCCACUGUCAAUUUUUGUAAAUGUUUCAUGGGUGCUUGAAAAGAACAUAAUUUCUCUGCUGCCUUCAGGGUUCUGUAAAUGAUUAUUUAAUGUUACUGAGAAAUGUAAAUGAAAAUCUUCUACUAAAAUUGUGAAUUUCUAAGUUCUUUUCAGUAAAUCCAUUUUGUUUGUUUUUGUUUGUUUUGAGGCUAUGUUGCUAGGUGCGUACAGGUUCAAAAUUAUAUUUUCCUGAUGAAUUGUUCCUUUCAAUAAUAGGCAAUAAGCCUCUGAUUCUCUAAUUCUCUCUCCCUCUUAAAGUCAGUUUUACUUAUGGUUAUAUGUUUAUAUGAGGCUUUAUGUUGACUUUAUAAUUUUUCAGAUAUUUCCUCCCCCUCAAUUUUUUUAAUUUUUCUGUGUCAUUACGUUUUAGAUGAGUCUUUUAUUAAUACAGCUAACUAAAAUUUCAAAAUAC